rnacentral:rRNA from 1 species
GGAAUAUUGGUCAAUGGGCGAGAGCCUGAACCAGCCAAGUAGCGUGCAGGAAGACGGCCCUAUGGGUUGUAAACUGCUUUUAUCAGGGGAUAAAGUGCGCCACGUGUGGUGUUUUGUAGGUACCUGAUGAAUAAGGACCGGCUAAUUCCGUGCCAGCAGCCGCGGUAAUACGGAAGGUCCGGGCGUUAUCCGGAUUUAUUGGGUUUAAAGGGAGCGCAGGCCGAUGGUUAAGCGUGACGUGAAAUGUAGGGGCUCAACCUUUGAAUUGCGUCGCGAACUGGCUGUCUUGAGUGAGUACGACGUCAGCGGAAUUCGUGGUGUAGCGGUGAAAUGCUUAGAUAUCACGAAGAACCCCGAUUGCGAAGGCAGCUGACGAGUCCUUUACUGACGCUAAAGCUCGAAGGUGCGGGUAUCGAACA